UACGUAGGUGGCAAGCGUUGUUCGGAAUUAUUGGGCGUAAAGGGCGCGUAGGCGGUUUGUUAAGUCAGCUGUGAAAACUCGAGGCUCAACCUCGAGACGUCGGCGGAAACCAUCUGGCUAGAGUCCGGAAGAGGAGAGUGGAAUUCCUGGUGUAGCGGUGAAAUGCGCAGAUAUCAGGAAGAACACCCGUGGCGAAGGCGGCUCUCUGGGACGGUACUGACGCUGAGACGCGAAAGCGUGGGGAGCGAACAGG
rnacentral:rRNA from 1 species